rnacentral:rRNA from 1 species
UAUCAAUAAGCGGAGGAAAAGAACCAACAGGGAUUGCCCUAGUAACGGCGAGUGAAGCGGCAACAGCUCAAAUUUGAAAUCUGGCUCUUUUAGAGUCCGAGUUGUAAUUUGCAGAGGGCGCUUUGGCUUUGGCAGCGGUCCAAGUUCCUUGGAACAGGACGUCACAGAGGGUGAGAAUCCCGUACGUGGUCGCUGGCUAUUGCCGUGUAAAGCCCCUUCGACGAGUCGAGUUGUUUGGGAAUGCAGCUCUAAAUGGGAGGUACAUUUCUUCUAAAGCUAAAUAUUGGCCAGAGACCGAUAGCGCACAAGUAGAGUGAUCGAAAGAUGAAAAGCACUUUGGAAAGAGAGUCAAACAGCACGUGAAAUUGUUGAAAGGGAAGCGCUUGCAGCCAGACUUGCUUGCAGUUGCUCAUCCGGGCUUUUGCCCGGUGCACUCUUCUGUAGGCAGGCCAGCAUCAGUUUGGGCGGUAGGAUAAAGGUCUCUGUCACGUACCUCUCUUCGGGGAGGCCUUAUAGGGGAGACGACAUACUACCAGCCUGGACUGAGGUCCGCGCAUCUGCUAGGAUGCUGGCGUAAUGGCUGUAAGCGGCCCGUCUUGAAACACGGACCAAGGAGUCUAACAUCUAUGCGAGUGUUUGGGUGUCAAGCCCGAGCGCGGAAUGAAAGUGAACGGAGGUGGGAACCCGCAAGGGUGCACCAUCGACCGAUCCUGAUGUCUUCGGAAGGAUUUGAGUAAGAGCAUGGCUGUUGGGACCCGAAAGAUGGUGAACUAUGCUUGAAUAGGGUGAAGCCAGAGGAAACUCUGGUGGAGGCUCGCAGCGGUUCUGACGUGCAAAUCGAUCGUCAAAUUUGGGCAUAGGGGCGAAAGACUAAUCGAACUAUCUAGUAGCUGGUUCCUGCCGAA